GACGAACGCUGGCGGCGUGCUUAACACAUGCAAGUCGAACGAAGAGCGACGGAAGCUUGCUUCUAUCAAUCUUAGUGGCGAACGGGUGAGUAACGCGUAAUCAACCUGCCCUUCAGAGGGGGACAACAGUUGGAAACGACUGCUAAUACCGCAUACGAUCUAAUCUCGGCAUCGAGGAUAGAUGAAAGGUGGCCUCUACAUGUAAGCUAUCACUGAAGGAGGGGAUUGCGUCUGAUUAGCUAGUUGGAGGGGUAACGGCCCACCAAGGCGAUGAUCAGUAGCCGGUCUGAGAGGAUGAACGGCCACAUUGGGACUGAGACACGGCCCAGACUCCUACGGGAGGCAGCAGUGGGGAAUCUUCCGCAAUGGACGAAAGUCUGACGGAGCAACGCCGCGUGAGUGAUGACGGCCUUCGGGUUGUAAAGCUCUGUUAAUCGGGACGAAAGGCCUUCUUGCAAAUAGUGAGAAGGAUUGACGGUACCGGAAUAGAAAACCACGGCUACUCGCCC
rnacentral:rRNA from 1 species